UACAGAGGGUGCAAGCGUUAAUCGGAAUUACUGGGCGUAAAGGGCGCGUAGGUGGUUAAUUAAGUUAGAUGUGAAAUCCCUGGGCUUAACCUAGGAAUUGCAUUUAAAACUGGUUGGCUAGAGUGUGGGAGAGGGAAGUGGAAUUUCCAGUGUAGCGGUGAAAUGCGUAGAUAUUGGAAGGAACACCAGUGGCGAAGGCGACUUCCUGGACCACUACUGACACUGAGGCGCGAAAGCGUGGGGAGCGAACAGG
rnacentral:rRNA from 1 species